AGAGAGGGAUGAAGAGAGAUUGAUUGAUGGACAUGAGGCCUUGCUGUGUUGCCCAGGUUGGAGCGCAGCGGCUAUUCUAAGGCAUGGUUACAGUGCACUGCAGCCGGAAAACUCCUGGUCUCAAGCCCUCCUUCCGCCUCAGCCUCCCAAGUAGCUAGGACUAGAGGUGCAUGCCACCACACCUAGCUUGAUUUUUUUUUUUUAAUCUGGAAAAAUUUCUGGAAGAUUGAUUCAUUUCUGAAUAUUGAACCAACGUGGCAAUCCUGGAAUAAAUCCCCCCUUUAUAUACUGUUGAAUUCACUUUGCUAAAAUUUUGUUUAAAUUUUUUCGUCAUUAUGAGUAUUGGCCCGUAGUUUUGUUAUAAUGUCUUUUAUCUGACUUUAAUAUUAAAGUAAUGCUGGUCUCAUAAAGUGGGUUGGAAAAUGUAUCCUUCUCUUCAAUUUUCUUGAAUAAUUUGUGUGGAAUUGCUAUUAUUUCUUCUUUCAAUGUUUGGUAGAAUUCGCUAGAUCUGUCUUAUUGGGAAGAUUUUUAACUACGCAUUCAAUUUCUUUAACACAUAUAGAACUAUUCGGGUAACCUACUUCUCGAGAGAACUCUGCUAGUUUGGGUCUUUCAAGGAAUUUGUGCAUUUUGUCUGGGUUGUCAAACUUAUUGGCAUAACGUUGUUCACAAUUGUGUAGGGGAAACUAUUCGUGCUUUCUUCUGCUCUCACACCAUGACAGUCAUCAACACAGAAGCCUUCGGUGACCAAAU
rnacentral:lncRNA from 1 species